rnacentral:rRNA from 1 species
GUUGAUCCUGGCUCAGGAUGAACGCUGGCGGUCUGCUUAACACGUGCAAGUCGAACGCAACCUUCGGGUUGAGUGGCGGACGGGUGAGUAACGCGUGAGAAUCUGCCUUGGGGUCGGGGACAACCACUGGAAACGGUGGCUAAUACCGGAUAAGCCUUUGGGUAAAAGAUUUAUUGCCCCAAGAGGAGCUCGCGUCUGAUUAGCUAGUUGGUGAGGUAAAAGCUCACCAAGGCAGCGAUCAGUAGCUGGUCUGAGAGGACGAUCAGCCACACUGGGACUGAGACACGGCCCAGACUCCUACGGGAGGCAGCAGUGGGGAAUUUUCCGCAAUGGGCGAACGCCUGACGGAGCAAGACCGCGUGAGGGAGGAAGGCUCUUGGGUUGUAAACCUCUUUUCUCAGGGAGGAAGCUCUGACGGUACCUGAGGAAUCAGCCUCGGCUAACUCCGUGCCAGCAGCCGCGGUAAUACGGAGGAGGCAAGCGUUAUCCGGAAUUAUUGGGCGUAAAGCGUCCGCAGGUGGCGAUUCAAGUCUGCUGUCAAAGCACGGGGCUUAACUCCGUUAAGGCAGUGGAAACUGAAUAGCUAGAGUGCCGUAGGGGUAGAGGGAAUUCCCGGUGUAGCGGUGAAAUGCGUAGAGAUCGGGAAGAACAUCGGUGGCGAAAGCGCUCUACUGGACGGCAACUGACACUCAGGGACGAAAGCUAGGGGAGCGAAUGGGAUUAGAUACCCCAGUAGUCCUAGCUGUAAACGAUGGAUACUAGGUGUAGCUUGUAUCGACCCGAGCUGUGCCGAAGCUAACGCGUUAAGUAUCCCGNCUGGGGAGUACGCACGCAAGUGUGAAACUCAAAGGAAUUGACGGGGGCCCGCACAAGCGGUGGAGUAUGUGGUUUAAUUCGAUGCAACGCGAA